UUCUGGGAUGGCGAGAAGGGGGCUGACACUCAUCAUUUCCUCUGACAGCACUUCUGUUUAUAUACCACUUUUCGUCUUCACACACCAGGAGGUGGGUAUUGUUAUUUCCCUCUACAGUGUCCCUUCUGGGGGCCUUCUUUUUUUUUUUUUUUUCCUGGGAGCCUUCUUGGCCCCACCAGACUGACUCACGAAACUCAAAUAGGCCGUCCCUGGUGGGGCUUCACCUCGAAGGAUGCAGGGACGGGAGAUGCAGUGUGCCAGCAGGGCAGCUUCUUAUCACCAAGGUGAUGAGAACACAUCACCAAGGUGUUUCUCAUCACCAAGACUUCUCAUAGCCCAGUGGUCCCCAACCUUUAUUGGCACCAGGGGCCAGUUUCAUGGAAGACAAUUUUUCCAUGGGUGGUGGGGUGGCAGGAGGGGAAAGGAGGAUGGUUUCAGGAUGAUGCAAGCACAUUACAUUUAUUGUGCACUUUUAUUUCCAUUAUUAUUACAUCAGCUCUUCUUCAGGUUAUCAGGCCUUAGAUCCUGGAGGUUGGGGACCCGUGUCCUAGGGACCAGGCUGUGUCCAGAGCUAUUCUCCUGCCCACCCAGACGACAUUCCCAGGUGCAAAGAAUGAGACCACCAAGGGCGGGAACUUGCGCCACAUCCUCCAAUUGAAAAGUCCCAUAAACCAGGUCUCCAGGAUUCCAGCAGGAUUCCAUGGUGGUCCAUGGUUGAGAGUCUGCCUUGCAAUGCAGAUGACCAGUUACAAGAUUCACAAUACUCGGGGUGGCCCCAAACUGCGGUUUUUCCAUAAAUCAUUGAUAGUUCUUUCAUAGUCCUCUCCCAUCUAGACACAGUUUACCAAUCAGGGCUCAUUUGCUCUAGAUGCAGUGUUACCUAGGAAUACAGCUGAGGGUCCACCUUCGUCAGGGUUCCAGGUAAACGGGGCUGGGAACUUACUUGUCCACAGAGAAGGAGUGUUUGUUGGCUUUUUAGUCAAAAUCACCUUCAGCGAUAAGGAAGCUGAAGACUGGGGAGCAGGGCCUUUCCCAGGGUCACACAGCCAUUAUGUGACAGAGUGGGAGCCCCAUCUUUGUCAGACCCCCAGACCUCUGCUGAGGCCUCAGCUCUGUGUCUGUUCCCCCUUGCCCACCCCAGCCAGGGUCUCAAAAAAUGCAUGACUUAUUAGAAAUAUUUAUUUGUUUAGUUGCACCAGGUCUUCAUUGCAGUGUAUGGGAUUUAAUUCCCUGGCCAGGAUUUGAACCCAGGGCCCCUGCAUUGGGAGCACAGAGUCUUAGCCACUGGAUCACCAGAGAAGUCCCAAUGCAUGACUUGCUAUAGACCCAAAUGGCCUUAUCCAUGCUGCUGCUAAGUCGCAUCAGUCGUGUCUGACUCUGUGCGACCCCAUAGAUGGCAGCCCACCAGGCUCCCCCAUCCCUGGGAUUCUCCAGGCAAGAACACUGGAGUGGGUUGCCAUUUCCUUCUCCAAUGCAUGAAAGUGAAAAGUGAAAGUGAAGUCACUCAGUCGUGUCCGACUCUUAGCGACCCCAUGGACUGCAGCCUACCAGGCUCCUCCAAACAUGGGAUUUUCCAGGCAAGAGUACUGGAGUGGGGUGCCAUUGCCUUCCAUAAAAGUAGAUAAAAGCCUUCAUGGAUGUAUUAGUUGGUCCUACCUAUUCCCUACAUGACUAGUCAGAUCACUUAAUUCCUUCGGGAGGAGGUCAUCUAAUAGAUAAGGGAGUGAGACUAGAGGACACUGAAUAGUAACUGAUGGCCCUAGGUAGUUAGAGUAUGACUUGUGAUAUACCAACAUUUUAAACUUUUAAAAAUUGUAUUUGUUUAAUUAAUUUAUUUCCGGCUACACUGGGUCUAUUGCAGUUCAUGGGCUUUCUCUACUGGCAGCGUCUGGGGGCAACUCUCUAGUUAUGGUGCUUGGGCUUCUCAUUGCGGUGACUUCUCUUGUCGCGGAGCCCAGGCUGUAGGCACAUGGGCUUCAGUAGUUGCAGCUCUCAGACUCUGGAGUGUAGGCUCAGUAGCUGUGGCACUCAGGCUUAGUUGCUCUGUCCCAAUCUUCCGGGGCCAGGGAUCAAACCCAUGUCCCCUGCAUUGGCAGGUGGAUUCUUAACCAGUGGACUACCAGGGAAACCCUGUAACAUAUUUUUAUCACCCUUGUUUAUUUUUUGAAAGUACUGUUAUUCUGGGACUUCCCUGGUGGUCCAUGGUUGAGAGUCUGCCUUGCAAUGCAGAGAACUUGGGUUCGAUCCCUGGUCCGAGUACUAAGAUUCUACAUGCCUUGGGGGCAACUAAGCCUGUGAGCCACAAGUACUGAGUCUGAGUUCUCGAACCCACAACCCUCAACUGCUGACCACAUGCUGUGUUACACCUACUGAGCACAUGUGUUGCAACUACUGAAGCCCUUGUGCCGUAGAGCUUAUGCUCCGCAACAAGAGAAGCCACCGCAAUGAGACGCCUGCACACGACAACUAGAGAGUAGCCCCUGCCUGCCUCAACUAGAGAGAGCCCACGCCCAGCAACAAAGACCCCGCAUAGCCAAAACUAAAUAAUCUGUUGUAGAAAUAAUGGAAAAUAUUUUAAAAGUAUGAAAAAAAUCACAUUCCCACCACCCAAAAAUAAUCACUACUAAUGUUUUGGUAUAUAUUUUUCUCAGUUUUCUAUAGUUAUCAUCAAUUCUAUAAUCUGCUUUUUAAGAUGCAAUACUUGUCACCUGGUUCUGGAAUCUUCUGAAUGUUCCAUUCCUUUCAUUCUGCUAAUUUUGCAGUUGUAUCCCACUUGGAGAAAUCCUCAUUGGCAUUUAAUGUUUCACAUGGCAGAUUCUUCACCAUCUGAGCUACCAGGGAAGUUUGUUUCUGAAUACCUUGGCAAAUAAACGAAGAAACAGGAUCUUUUGACAUACAUUUGAAAGACUAGAGGCUGAACUCUUGGGUGAGGAGACCAAAUGGAACAUGGAACUAGCCUGUGGAAUAGGGAGUGUAGACAUCUGCGUACAGAUGGCAGCUUAAGCAUGGGUGUUUCCUUUUGCUCCAUCCCCAGAUCCCCCCCAAAUGAUCAGCAAAGGGGUUUCCUUAAAGGCCUACCGAGAUGACAGGUAUGGCCAAGGGGACAGUUGGAAAGCAGAAAGCAAAUUUCUAGGCCAAACUUAAUCACUUACAUCCUUAGACUGUGAGAUUCACUAUUGUGACCUGAAAAAUGAACAUCAUUAUCUCAUUAUAUAAAGUUUAUUUGCAGAGCUCAGUCCCUCAGUCAUGUCAGACUCUUCAUGACCCCCAUGGACUGUAGCCCACCAGGCUUCUCAGUCCAUGGAAUUCUCCAGGCAGGAAUCCUGGAUGGGUCGUCAUUUCCUUCAGGGGAUCUUGCCAACCCAGGGGUCAGACCCACGUCUUCUGCGUUGGCAGGCAGAUUCUUUUAUCACUGAGCCACCUGGGAAGCCCUAAAAUUUAUAUAACUAUAAGUAAGUGAUAAGUGAAGUCGCUCAGUCGUGUCCAACUUUUUGCGACCCCGUGGACUGUAGCCUCCCAGUCUCCUCCGUUCAUGGGAUUUUCCAAGCAAAGGUACUGGAGUGAGUUGCCAUUCCCAAUAUGUGUAUAUAUGGAUAUAUCCUUCUACGAUUUUUCCUGUGCAUCUACCCAUGAAAUACUUAUUGUAUUAAUAAAAUGGAAUUAAAUCCCAUAUACUAUUUCGUAGCCUUUUCACAUCAUAUAUUUAUUCCAACAGUGAGUCACAUUUAGAGUAAAAAUUUAGAAAGUCAAACACAAGAAGAAAAUAACAGAAAUAAUCACUGUUAACAUCUUGAUGUAUGUCUUUCUCAUCUGUUUAAGAACAUAUGUAUAUAAAUAGAGUUAUAUUUUCUUAGAAACUUGAAUCACACUAUAAUACUGUUUUAUAACCAGCAUUUUACAUUUAACAGUGUCCUGGGGUGUUAAGUUGUUGAUGUCAGCUCACUUUUCACAGCUGGAGCUAUGAGAUGAAGUUGUCUCCAUGGCUGAGCAGAGUGUGGGGUGGUUGUUCCCCUGCCUUACUGGGAGAAUCCAGUGGACAGGGGUCCUUUUUCAGUUCUAUUGGCAAACUUCCUUUCUUUUUAAUUUUCUAAAUUGACAAUUUAUUAUCAUAUAUAAACACAAUAACCACAUUAUUAUAUAAAUACUGUAACCACAUUACUAAAAUUUAAAAUAAGAAUUAAAA